GUGAAGAGAUCCCUUUUCGGAUCAUGAAGAGCAUGGAGCUUCUCUGAGGGAAAUUAUGCGGAGUCUGAUUACCGUCAGAUAGGGUUUGGGUGUGCAGAAGAUUCUUAUAGCAAUGGCGAUUGCAGAAUUGGUUGGUGUUGUCCGUUACUAUAGCCUGAAGGCUGUCAAGAUGAUGAGGUGACAGGAGGAUGAGCAUCGGCGAGCCACAGAUUGUGGGCCGGCCGAUGACGAGGACAUGGAUCCCAAUGUGUUGAGUUUGUCACUUCCGAGAAUCGUUGUUUUGGG